UACGUAGGGUGCAAGCGUUAAUCGGAAUUACUGGGCGUAAAGCGUGCGCAGGCGGUUUCGUAAGUCUGUCGUGAAAGCCCCGGGCUCAACCUGGGAAUGGCGAUGGAUACUGGCGAGCUAGAGUGCGGUAGAGGAGAGUGGAAUUCCCGGUGUAGCAGUGAAAUGCGUAGAGAUCGGGAGGAACACCAGUGGCGAAGGCGGCUACCUGGACCAGCACUGACACUGAGGCACGAAAGCGUGGGGAGCAAACAGG
rnacentral:rRNA from 1 species